UUGUCACACUCCUACGGGAGGCAGCAGUGGGGAAUAUUGCACAAUGGAGGAAACUCUGAUGCAGCCAUGCCGCGUGUGUGAAGAAGGCCUUCGGGUGUAAAGCACUUUCAGUUGUGAGGAAGGUGGUGUCGUUAAUAGCGGCAUCAUUUGACGUUAGCAACAGAAGAAGCACCGGCUAACUCCGUGCCAGCAGCCGCGGUAAUACGGAGGGUGCGAGCGUUAAUCGGAAUUACUGGGCGUAAAGCGCAUGCAGGUGGUUUGUUAAGUCAGAUGUGAAAGCCCCGGGGCUCAACCUCGGAACUGCAUUUGAAACUGGCAGACUAGAGUACUGUAGAGGGGGUAGAAUUUCAGGUGUAGCGGUGAAAUGCGUAGAGAUCUGAAGGAAUACCGGUGGCGAAGGCGGCCCCCUGGACAGAUACUGACACUCAGAUGCGAAAGCGUGGGGAGCAAACAGGAUUAGAUACCCUGGUAG
rnacentral:rRNA from 1 species